rnacentral:rRNA from 1 species
UACAGAGGUCUCAAGCGUUGUCCGGAUUCAUUGGGCGUAAAGGGUGCGUAGGUGGCGCCGUAAGUCGGGUGUGAAAUUUCGGAGCUUAACUCCGAAAACUGCAUUCGAUACUGCGGUGCUUGAGGACUGGAGAGGAGACUGGAAUUCAUGGUGUAGCAGUGAAAUGCGUAGAGAUCAUGAGGAAGACCAGUGGCGAGGGCGGGUCUCUGGGACAGUUCCUGACACUGAGCACGAAGGCCAGGGGAGCAAACGGGG